rnacentral:rRNA from 1 species
AUCAACGCUGGCGGCGUGCCUAACACAUGCAAGUCGAACGAGAAAGUAAGGUAGCAAUACCAUGAGUAAAGUGGCGCACGGGUGAGUAACACCGUGACUAACCUACCUUGGAGUUCGGAAUAAACCUCGGGAAACCGGGGCUAAUACCGGAUAUACACCUACGGGUCAAAGGAGCAAUUCGCUCUGAGAGGGGUGGGGGUCGCGGCUGAUUAGCUAGUUGGCGGGUAAUGGCCUACCAAGGCGACGAUCAGUAUCCGGCCUGAGGAGGGCGCACGGACACACUGGAACUGAAACACGGUCCAGACUCCUACGGGAGGCAGCAGUGGGGAAUUUUGCACAAUGGGGGAAACCCUGAUGCAGCAACGCCGCGUGGAGGAUGAAGGUCUUUGGAUUGUAAACUCCUUUCGACCGGACGAUUAUGACGGUACCGGUAGAAGAAGCACCGGCUAACUCUGUGCCAGCAGCCGCGGGGUAAUACAGAGGGUGCAAGGUCUGUUGUUCGGAAAUUAUUGGGCGUAAAGGGCGCGAGGCGGUGCGGUAAGUCUCGCGGUGAAAUCUCCCGGCUCAACUGGGAGGCUGCCGUGGAAACUGCCGUGCUGAGUGUGGGAGAGGUGAGUGGAAUUCCCGGUGUAGCGGUGAAAUGCGUAGAUAUCGGGAGGAACACCUGUGGCGGAAAGCGGCUCACUGGACCACAACUGACGCUGAGGCGCGAAAGCUAGGGGACGCAAACAGGAUUAGAUACCCUGGUAGUCCUAGCCCUAAACGAUGAUUGCUGGUGUAACAGGUACCCAAUCCUGUUUGUGCCGAAGCUAACGCGAUAAGCAAUCCGCCUGGGGAGUAGUACGGUCGCAAGGCUGAAUACUCAAAGGAAUUGACGGGGGCCCGCACAAGCGGUGGAGCAUGUGGUUCAAUUCGACGCAACGCGAAGAACCUUACCUGGGCUCGAAGCGCAGUGGACUGAGGUAGAAAUAUCUCUUUCUCGCAAGAGACUGCUGCGUAGGUGCUGCAUGGCUGUCGUCAGCUCGUGUCGUGCAGAUGUUGGGUUAAGUCCCGCAACGAGCGCAACCCUUAUUGCCAGUUGCCAUCAUUAGUUGGGCACUCUGGCGAAAACUGCCCCGGAUAACGGGGAGGAAGGUGGGGAUGACGUCAAGUCCUCAUGGCCUUUAUGUCCAGGGCUACACACGUGCUACAAUGGUCGGUACAAACCGUCGCAAACCCGUGGAGGGAGGAGCUAAUCGGAAAAAGCCGACCUCAGUUCGGAUUGUAGUCUGCAACUCGACUACAUGAAGCUGGAAUCGCUAGUAAUCGCCAGGAUCAGAAACGCUGCGGUGAAUCACGUUCCCGGGCCUUGUACACACCGCCCGUCACAUCACGAAAGUGGGCUGUACUAGAAGUCGGUGGGCUAACCCGCAAGGGAAGCAGCCGCCCAAGGUAUAACUCAUGAUUGGGGUG